UUGCUGCAAAUUGCCCCCCCCCCACUUUCCUGUAAGGAAAAGAGCUCCUUGACAAAAACACGGGUAAAAUCUCUAGUAAUUUUUCAAAGUAAGGCUAAGGUGGAACCUUCAGGGCCCAGCCCAGCUCCUCCCACUGCUGCUGACUCCACUCUCCCUACCCAGCCACCUCUUCAGUAUUCCCUGGCAUCCUUGGGAGCAGCCUCAGAUACUUCUUAAGUUUCAAGGGAGGAGCUGUUCCCACCCAAGCUACAGAACUACCCAGUUCUUCAAUUGGAUAAAAGGCCAAGCAGCCCCAGAAAAUCUCAUUGGAGCCUAAAGAAACCAUCACACCCCAGGAGCACAAGAAAAUUGGAGAGAGUGGUUGGACCAGGAGCAGAGAGAAUCUUAUCAUGAGUACAAUCGACCCCAAUCCACACGGCGUAGCUUUGUAUCCAUGAUCUGUGUCCACCCUGGAGAGGAGAAGGCUACAGGUCACUGUGGGGUGAGAAGUUUGCCCAGAUCAGUUUUAGAGGAUCCAGAAGUCAUGUAUAUGGGAACACAUGAGAGCCCCCUAAAUUCUACGCAUUGUAUGGAAGACACUUGUGUGUCCCAUUACCUUUCAUUUUCACCUGUGCCUGUGGCAGAGGUUUUCUCAUUGCCCCUGGCUGCUGGUGUCUCUCCCUCCCCA